ensembl:lncRNA
AGUGCAUCUGGGCUUGCUGAGCAUCACAGAGGAUGGGCCAAGCUUACCAGGGACAGCUGCUCUGCUGCCCAGGUUCGGCUGAGCUGUGCAGCUGGUCCCUGGCUCCGACCUCCACCCCCAGAUCCUGCAAAGCCUCACUGGAGGAUGCUUGCCUUUGAAGAGCCACAUGGAACUGAUUUCCUGGAUGUCUUAGGACCAAAGUUCCUCUCUAGGUAGGAUAGCAAAACGCAGCUGGACCUAAAAUGGCCACCAGGGAAAUCACCAGAUGACCUCUAACUUCAUGACAAUCUAAUACUCGUGCUAAACGACACACCCACUGGCUGCCCUAAAUGGAAGGAGACACCGGACCAUAUAAAGAAGAAAAAGAGGGGAAAUCUGGACAGAGACAGAUGUGCAUAGAGGGAAGAUGGUGUGAAGAUGCAGAAUGGCACUUGACCAGGAAGGCAGAGAAUGGGAGUGAUGUACUAGGAAGGCAAAGAAUGCCGAGGAUUGCAAGGCAACCACCGGCAGCCAGGAGGGAAACCCAGAACAGCCUCCCUCACAGCCCUCAGAAGGAACCAACCCUGCCCAUCACCUUGAUCUGACUUCAGGCUUCAUAACUGCGAG